rnacentral:rRNA from 1 species
AAUCAACGCUGGCGGCGUGCCUAACACAUGCAAGUCGAACGCGAAAGCCCCGCAAGGGGCAAGUAGAGUGGCAAACGGGUGAGUAACACGUGGGUGACCUGCCUUCGAGUGGGGGAUAACGUCCCGAAAGGGACGCUAAUACCGCAUAACAUCCUGCCUUUUAAAAGGUGGACAUCAAAGCCGGGGAUCGCAAGACCUGGCGCUUGAAGAGGGGCCCGCGCCUGAUUAGCUAGUUGGUGGGGAAUGGCUCACCAAGGCAACGAUCAGUAUCCGGCCUGAGAGGGCGGACGGACACACUGGGACUGAGACACGGCCAGACUCCUACGGGAGCAGCAGUGGGAAUUGUUCGCAAUGGGCNCAAGCCUGACGACGCAACGCCGCGUGGAGGAUGAAG